rnacentral:lncRNA from 1 species
UUCUCAUGAGACGAAGUAUGACGUCAAGAAUAAGAUAGCACACUUGUUAUGAAUCGUCAAUGGGCUUUCUCGACCAGGACAACGCACCUGCGCUAACUGCCCUCCGUCUGCCAGCCAGUUUCAAGACGACGGAAAGAGGGACCUCGAGUUUCUCCUUUCCUCCCGCCCGUGCUAUCUCCUGGACGAUCGCCCGCUUUUCUUCACACUCCUGUUGGAAAUUUGAGUUGGUUAGAUAUGAAGGAAGAAGUUUUUUUGAAUCACAGCCACACCCUCAAGUACACACGCCCUUACUUACCCCAAGGAUGUUCUCGAGUCCCUCGAGUGCCACAGUAACAACAGAGGUUUCAAAGACGCCUAGCACUGUGACGAAGGCUUCCACGCCGCCGGCAGCCACCAGGGCUUCCAUCUGGCUCCGCGUGCCACCUGCCGUUAGGUUAGAGAGCGCCCAGGUGGCUUCCUUCUGCACGUCGAGGAAUCCCUGGUAGGAAUGACUGAGAGCCCAUGCUGUCUCUUUGCGGAUGUUCCUGCGUGUGUUCUUCAACAACUGCUUGUAUUGCGGCAGCACCCCGGCAUCCAGGGCAGCUUCCGUCUGAAUAUGUAAGAGCAAGCAAAAUCAAUGUAACACACCUGCGUGUCACUUCCGCUGACGAUGUUGCCCGUUGCCCUGAGCGCAGGGACGAUCAUCUGUGUCUGAUCCGACCCGAGGUGACGUACAAGGACGGGAAGGAGGUCUUCCUGAACCACUUUUUCGACCUCGUCAUCGCCCUGCUCCGACAUGUAUGAAAGGGCCCAUAAGGCGUCCACUGUACGGAAGGAAAACGGAAGGAUGAGAUAGAGACAAGCAGAACAGGAAAAAGAAAUAAUGGAGAAGGACACGACAGGGAGAGAGAACUGACACCGAAAGAGAGAGAGGGAGAGAGAGAGAGACUUUGACUUUGACGAGUUUAUUGAGACAAGU